UGAGUCAUCAGGUGACCCGAAUAAUCCCUCAAGAAAUUGGCGAUUUGUGCUUCUGGAGUUGUUGGGUUCUCAUUACGGCCGCGAUUUGUAUGGAGCAGGACAUGAUCUCUGGAGGCAAUGGUGGCGUUCCGAUAAAUUUGACCAUACGGAAAACGACCCCCUUUGUUGAAGACGAAUAUAUAUCUGGCGCUGAUGUUGCAGUAGUUGGUGGGUUGACUAGACUCUAGAGUUCUGCGGCAUAAUGACUGCGAUGCAAGAAGCGCCACUCCCAUAUAUCGUGCACAAAUUACAUACUUGUUUGUGUACUCUGUCUGAAUGGAAAACUUAUUUCCCAUUUUCCAUUGACAAUUUUGUGAUAUAUUAGUUCUGUAGAGGUGACGCUGUAGAUCAUAAAUCGUGGUUGUGGUAGGAGCUCUAGUGUUCUAUGAAUGACUUUUAAAAAAAAAAAAUUGUUCUUUCCUUUGAAAUGAAUGGGACCAAAUUUAAAAGAAA